AGAGUUGAUCAUGGCUCAGGAUGAACGCUAGCUACAGGCUUAACACAUGCAAGUCGAGGGGCAGCAGGACGAUAGCUUGCUAUGUGCUGGCGACCGGCGCACGGGUGAGUAACGCGUAUCCAACCUGGCCCGUAGUAGGGAAUAGCCCGGCGAAAGUCGGAUUAAUGCCCUAUGUUUUCCUUUGAGGACAUCUGAUUUGGAAUAAAGGUUCACCGCUAUGGGAUGGGGAUGCGUCUGAUUAGCUUGUCGGCGGGGUAACGGCCCACCGAGGCAACGAUCAGUAGGGGUUCUGAGAGGAAGGUCCCCCACAUUGGUACUGAGACACGGACCAAACUCCUACGGGAGGCAGCAGUGAGGAAUAUUGGUCAAUGGGCGAGAGCCUGAACCAGCCAAGUAGCGUGCCAGGAAGACUGCCCUAUGGGUUGUAAACUGCUUUUAUGCGGGAAUAAAGUGCACUACGUGUAGUGUUUUGUAUGUACCGCAUGAAUAAGGACCGGCUAAUUCCGUGCCAGCCGCCGC
rnacentral:rRNA from 1 species